CCACCAUAGAAACGUGGAGGAAAUUGUUUUACAAAAAACAAUUUCCUCCACGUUUCUAUGGUGG
rfam:Salmo salar isolate Sally breed double haploid chromosome ssa04, whole genome shotgun sequence.